AGAGCAACUGACUUGUAAUCAGUAGGUUGGGGGUUCAAGUCCUCUGGCCGGCACCA
rnacentral:tRNA from 1 species